GAACUUUACAAGAGAAUGAGUUCUGACUGUCCAUGGAUAUAGAGCUUAACAUCCAAGUCCAAGUGAUCAAGUAUUCCGCUAUCUCGAGGGGUGGUAAAUUGCCAUAUGCAAUUAAUCGGGAAUGCAAUGGAUUAUGGUGGGCAUCGUGAAAAUAGAAGACACAAAAAAUGGAUUGCUUCGUCUCUACCGGAAAUGGGUUUCCACAUCUCAGCUUGUCGCAACUAUACUUUCCCCCGUGCUAUGGCAGGAUUUCAGGAAGAUAUUUGUAGAAAAUGAUUCCGUAGUAGAAAAGGCAUUUAAUUUUUAGUAGUAUAAUCAUUAUUUUUUAUGAAUAUUUUGGUGAACAUUUUUUGUUUGUGAUGUAAUGGAUGGAUGGAAUAUUUUCCGACUUUGAAUUUUAUGAAUAUUUCCCGUUUUCUAA